CCUACGGGGGACAGCAGUGGGGAAUAUUGCACAAUGGGGGGAACCCUGAUGCAGCGACGCCGCGUGAGUGAAGAAGGAUUUCGGGAUGGAAAGCUCUAUCAGCAGGGAAGAAGAUGACGGUACGUGAGUAAGAAGCCCCGGCUAACGACGUGCCAGCAGCCGCGGUAAUACGUAGGGGGCAAGCGUUAUCCGGAUUUACUGGGUGUAAAGGGAGCGUAGACGGCAGGGCAAGUCUGGAGUGAAAGCCCGGGGCCCAACCCCGGGACGGCUUUUGAAACUGCCAUGCUAGAGUGCUGGAGAGGUAAGCGGAAUUCCUAGUGUAGCGGUGAAAUGCGUAGAUAUUAGGAGGAACACCAGUGGCGAAGGCGGCUUACUGGACUGUAACUGACGUUGAGGCUCGAAAGCGUGGGGAGCAAACAGGAUUAGAUACCCCUGUAGUC
rnacentral:rRNA from 1 species